rnacentral:rRNA from 1 species
AGAGUUUGAUCCUGGCUCAGGACGAACGCUGGCGGCGUGCCUAAUACAUGCAAGUCGAGCGGACCGGGCGGGAGCUUGCUUCCGCUUGGUUAGCGGCGGACGGGUGAGUAACACGUGGGUAACCUGCCCGUAAGACCGGGAUAACUCCGGGAAACCGGGGCUAAUACCGGAUAACACCGAAGACCGCAUGGUCUUCGGUUGAAAGGCGGCUUCGGCUGCCACUUACGGAUGGGCCCGCGGCGCAUUAGCUAGUUGGUGAGGUAACGGCUCACCAAGGCGACGAUGCGUAGCCGGCCUGAGAGGGUGACCGGCCACACUGGGACUGAGACACGGCCCAGACUCCGUACGGGAGGCAGCAGGUAGGGAAUCUUCCG